rnacentral:rRNA from 1 species
GACGUAGGGGGCAAGCGUUGUCCGGAUUUAUUGGGCGUAAAGAGCGUGUAGGCGGUUUGGUAGGUCCGCUGUGAAAACUCGAGGCUCAACCUCGAGACGCCGGUGGAAACCAUCAGGCUAGAGUCCGGAAGAGGAGAGUGGAAUUCCUGGUGUAGCGGUGAAAUGCGCAGAUAUCAGGAAGAACACCCGUGGCUAAGGCGGCUCUCUAGUACGGUACUGACGCUGAGACGCGAAAGCGUGGGGAGCGAACAGG